rnacentral:rRNA from 1 species
GAUGAACGCUAGCUACAGGCUUAACGCAUGCAAGUCGAGGGGAAACGACAUCGAAAGCUUGCUUUUGAUGGGCGUCGACCGGCGCACGGGUGAGUAACGCGUAUCCAACCUGCCCACCACUUGGGGAUAACCUUGCGAAAGUAAGACUAAUACCCAAUGAUAUCUCUAGAAGACAUCUGAAAGAGAUUAAAGAUUUAUCGGUGAUGGAUGGGGAUGCGUCUGAUUAGCUUGUUGGCGGGGUAACGGCCCACCAAGGCUACGAUCAGUAGGGGUUCUGAGAGGAAGGUCCCCCACAUUGGAACUGAGACACGGUCCAAACUCCUACGGGAGGCAGCAGUGAGGAAUAUUGGUCAAUGGACGAGAGUCUGAACCAGCCAAGUAGCGUGCAGGAUGACGGCCCUAUGGGUUGUAAACUGCUUUUAUAAGGGAAUAAAGUGAGUCUCGUGAGACUUUUUGCAUGUUCCUUAUGAAUAAGGACCGGCUAAUUCCGUGCCAGCCGCCGCUGUAA